ensembl:lncRNA
GAAGAAAACCCCAAAACAACAGUCAGUGACAUCACCAACAACCUCCACAGGGCAGGGUGAAGGUCUCACAAUCCACCGCUCGAAGAAGACUUCGAGAGCAGAAAUUUAGAGGCCGUACCACAAGAUUGAAACCACUCAUCAGCAGUAAGAAUCAGAAAGUCAGAUUGUAAUUCACAAAGAAAUACUGAGAUGAUCCACAAAAGUUCUGGAACAAAGAUGAACCUCUACCAAAGUGAUGGAAAGUCCAAAGUGUGGAGAAAGAAAGGAUCUGCUCAUGAUCCAGAACGUACAAGCUGAUCUGUGGAACAUGGUGGAGAUUUACAGAGAAACGCAUCCGAAUGAAUCAGGAGGAACUUCAUCAUGCAGCGAGACAACGAUCCA